rnacentral:misc_RNA from 1 species
GCUUCUUCCUGUUUAUCUUGUUGAAGACUAUCUUUCCAUAAGUUGAAUUCCAUUUUGUCCAUAUCUGGUGGGUAAAAAUUUGCACCAGGAGGUUUCACAGCAGGAAAUGCUGUUCUAUAUUCAAAACCCUUCCAGCCUGGUACAGGCUUUGUUGCAUUCGGAAGAAGCUUGACAGCUGAAUCUGCAGUCGUCAAAAAAGCCUCAUUUUCAUCCAGGCAAGACCAUGGACUUUUGUUAAUUACAUAGUACAUCCAUUUCAACUUGUCCAACUGUGAUUUAUCGGCAUUCUCCUUUAGCCAGUCUCUCAAAGAUGGAUUGCUAUACCAAACCUGCACAUAAAAGAUCUUGUCCAUGAUUGUUGCAGCUUUAACAAGUAGAUUUAGUGCUUCUUUGUCUGCU